AAAAAUAAAUAGAAAGACAAGGAGUGGUUGCGAGAUAGGAGGUUUCCCCACUGUGAAAGAUCAUCAUGUACUUCCCAAACUCUGAAUGCGUGAAGAGUGAGGUGCGCGAGGCAUACAUGGGUGGCGGAUGUCAUCAUUUUCCACACUGGAGCUCUGCUGCUGCACUCUGAAAGAUUCAUUUCUGAAUGGAGAGACGCUUCGGGUCUCCUAUACCACUCUCAAAGGCCUGAAGGCCAGGAAGAACCGUUCCAACCAGACCAGUCCUCCCAGGGGUCUUCCAGGAUGUCAGGAACGGGGAGGGUAGAGCUUCAGAGGGCUGCAGGUAGAACUGGACCUUCUGCCCGCUCUGAGCAGGUGAUACACUUGGGAUGCAGAAAUGCCACCUGCUCUUGGCCGUCAGCACAGAACCCCACCCACCCACCAGACCACAGAAGGAGGGAACUGGAAUCCAGCGUGCGUCCAUGCACACACAGACACCCCAUAGGGAAUCUAGUAA
rnacentral:lncRNA from 1 species